rnacentral:sRNA from 1 species
CCUCUGCAAAAUGCUGGAGCUGGCGGCAGGGCCAGCUGCACUGAGUAGUGUGGAGAACUCAGGGCAGCACCUGUCCCAUCCCCAGGGCCCCUCCACCUCCUGCUGUCUCUGAAUGCCAGGCCCUGGGGAGGCCCUGAGGAUAGAGGAGGAGGCCUGGCCAUGCCUUUCCGGAGUUCACAGACCCCUAAAGACAGGAGGCAGGGACGGCGGUGUAGGCCUGGAGAGCGCCUGGGGGGCGGGAGGGCCUGAGGCUGUGCUAAGGCCCAGAGGUCCUGGAGCAGGGCAUGUCUUGUUCUGAGGAGGCUUAGGCAGCGCCCCUGGGGGAGUUGGGGCAGGAGGUGGGGAGGACAGGAUCGUGGAGUCUUCGCAUGUCAUGGUGUCUGUUGGUUUUUAAGCUUUCUUGGGAAGUCUGGUGUUUCCUGUGUAGUUUGGGGACUAGGCCACACCUCUCCCUCAUGCUUGUCACCACUGCUGCACCUUGUCUGCCCACUUUCUCUCCUUCCCGCCCCUGGGGGUGAGACCCUCACCUCUCUCGUGAGCAUGCUGCCUCAUGUCUUUCGUGCCGUCGUUCUGUGGCUGGGUGACUGUUCCUCAGGCCGCCAACCCUAGUUGGCUCUCACAGCAACUUCCAGUGCUCCUGGACGGGGACUUCCUAAGCAGCAUGGGGGCCACACGGGUGGGCCACACAUACUGGCCUGGGUCCGCAUUCCCUGUUUCAGGCUGUUGUCUCGGGUCAUCUCCGGAAGCGGCAGGAGCGCUGGGUCUCCUGGUCGUGGCCGGGCAGCGUCUUUCUUCUUCAGGGUCUGGAUGCCACUUCCCGCCUCCUCCCUGUGCCCAGUGGAAGGAGAAACAUCCUAGAGGGUGGAGACUGCCCUGUUUUUCUUUUGCCAUUGAGUCCCAGUGUGACUCAGGCACGAGGCUGCCUUUCUCUGCCAGAGGACAGAAAGGUUCAGUGACUGGCCCAGGGUCACACAGUUCUGCCUCCCAGCCCACCAGCCUGAGCCAACAGUCAAGAUGGGGUGGGGACACUCAGUCUCUCUUGAGACCCCACUAAAGAGUCUGGGGCUGACACUGUAGGAGAGAUAUAAGCAGGACUUCUGCUGGCUGCUCCCCUCCUGCAUGAGGCAUGUUAGAGGGACUGGGACCGCCAGCCCCCAGCUCCCAUGCCGGGCCUUGGCCCAGUCUCAGCUCCUGUUUGGGAGGGUGGGGCAGAGGGGCAGGGGGCAGAAGUUGAGUCUGGGAGCUGGGGCGGGGCACAGGCUCUAGGGUCCAGCUGUCCUCCUCUCCCCUCCCCUGCUGGCCACUCCUGCUGCCGUCUCCACAGCUUUGGAAUGAUGAAGUGGACAAGGCUGAGCAGGAGCUCCGCGUGGCCCAGACAGAGUUUGACCGGCAAGCAGAAGUGACCCGUCUCUUGCUGGAGGGAAUCAGUAGCACUCACGUGAACCACCUGCGCUGCCUCCACGAGUUCGUCAAGUCUCAGACAACCUACUACGCACAGUGCUACCGCCACAUGCUGGACUUGCAGAAGCAGCUGGGCAGCUCCCAGGGUGCCAUAUUUCCAGGCACCUUCGUGGGCACCACAGAGCCUGCCUCCCCACCCCUGAGCAGCACCUCACCCACCACCGCUGCGGCCACUAUGCCUGUGGUGCCCUCUGUGGCCAGCCUGGCCCCUCCGGGGGAGGCCUCGCUCUGCCUGGAAGAGGUGGCCCCCCCUGCCAGUGGGACCCGCAAAGCUCGGGUGCUCUAUGACUACGAGGCAGCCGACAGCAGUGAGCUGGCCCUGCUGGCUGAUGAGCUCAUCACUGUCUACAGCCUGCCUGGCAUGGACCCUGACUGGCUCAUUGGCGAGAGAGGCAACAAGAAGGGCAAGGUCCCUGUCACCUACUUGGAACUGCUCAGCUAGGCAGGCCCCCCAUCCCCCCGCAUUCUGGCCUGGGCAGGAGAGGAUGGGCGCAGCCCUGCCACUUAACUUGUUUGUUGGUGACACAGCUGUUCAGAGUGGGGAGAAGAAUUUACCCCAUUCUGUCCCUGCUCCUAGUCACCUAGCUGUGAGGGUGCCUGAGGCUGAAUGGCCCCACCCCUCCCCCAGCCCUGCUUCUGACCUACGGCUCUGGAGCCCCUGCCCCUGCCUGCAUCCCCGAGCACCCCACUCUCCCGGCUCCACUAAGGAGGGAGGGGCUGUCUGCAGCAGCUGCACUCAGCACCUAGGCCAGGGUGGGGCCGCCGCAGAUGGGCGCAGGAAGCCCCAGGUGCACUCAGCAAGAGCCUUGCCUUUCAGUUGCCAAAAGCUGUCGGGGGAAUGCGGCAAGGCACACAGGGCUCUGGCAGCCCCUGGGGACUGGGUGCUGCCCCUGGGAGGGGAGAGCCUGGCCAGGGCUGGUGUUGGGCCCGGAGCAGCAUCUUCCGGUGCUAUCCUCCCCUCCCACCCCUCACGGCUCAAGCCAAGUCCAGCGGCCGCAGCCUCCACCUCUCCACACUCACUUUUUAUCUGGUGUUUUUACUUCUGUCUGCGUUUGCUCUCUAGCCAAUAAACCCUCCUUGUGUGCGAGUCACCUGGGCUCCUGUCAGGGCCUGGCCCUGAGGGUGGGAAAGGGAAGGGUAGACUCACCCUCUGCCCCACUCUUCCACAGAGUGAGCAGGGGCCCUUUGGCUGCCCCGGCCCCCAGCUCUCUAAGUUGGGAAGUGCAGCCCUCCCUGUCUUCCGUGGGGCCUGUGCCUCUCAGAGGGCAGUGCUGUUCCUGGACAUAAAGCCGCACAAGGAACGUUUUAUUCCUAAGAAAAAGUUUCCUAAA